CUCCCAUUCCCCCCUUCUCCAACUCCUCCCUUCAGCAAACCCUAGCCUCCACCAAAGAAAGCAAACCCUAGCCUCCACCCAUAGUUGUCGCCGUCUGUCGGAGUGAGAGACUGCUCCCGCCGUCCAUCGCACUCAAGAACUUCCGUCUUCGUGCUCUCGGGCCUCUCGCCGGAUCCUCCACGUCGGGUGCUCACAUCUCGCCGUUCUCCUCUGUGCUCGGCUGCUCGCGCCUCCCUCCGCCAGUGAGUGCUCGAGCUAUGCGUGUUGGUUGCUGCACGUCGUCCGUGGUUGUCUCUGCUCGAUUCUGCCUCCCAGUCUCACUCGAGUCUCGUCUCAGUCAGUGGCAUCUCGUGGUUCGUCUGUCUCGUCGCCGGCGGCAGAAGCAACUCGUGGGGUUGUCCCUUGCUUCGUCGCCUUCCAUGGGGUGGUCGCCGACUCGCCGUCGACCGUUGAGACAUUUAUAGUUUUAUACAGACAAGUGGUUCUGAUUUUGGAAUCAACUAUGGAUAAAUAGCCAACAAUCUUCCCUCUCCAUCACGCGUUGCUGUUCUAAAACGGUUU